GAUGAACGCUGGCGGCGUGCCUAAUACAUGCAAGUCGAGCGAACGGACGAGGAGCUUGCUCCUCUGACGUUAGCGGCGGACGGGUGAGUAACACGUGGAUAACCUACCUAUAAGACUGGGAUAACUUCGGGAAACCGGAGCUAAUACCGGAUAAUAUAUUGAACCGCAUGGUUCAAUAGUGAAAGACGGUUUUGCUGUCACUUAUAGAUGGAUCCGCGCCGCAUUAGCUAGUUGGUAAGGUAACGGCUUACCAAGGCAACGAUGCGUAGCCGACCUGAGAGGGUGAUCGGCCACACUGGAACUGAGACACGGUCCAGACUCCUACGGGAGGCAGCAGUAGGGAAUCUUCCGCAAUGGGCGAAAGCCUGACGGAGCAACGCCGCGUGAGUGAUGAAGGUCUUCGGAUCGUAAAACUCUGUUAUUAGGGAAGAACAAAUGUGUAAGUAACUAUGCACGUCUUGACGGUACCUAAUCAGAAAGCCACGGCUAACUACGU
rnacentral:rRNA from 1 species